UACGGGGGGGGGCAAGCGUUGUUCGGAAUUACUGGGCGUAAAGGGCUCGUAGGCGGCCAACUAAGUCGGACGUGAAAUCCCUCGGCUUAACCGGGGAACUGCGUCCGAUACUGGAUGGCUUGAGUUCGGGAGAGGGAUGCGGAAUUCCAGGUGUAGCGGUGAAAUGCGUAGAUAUCUGGAGGAACACCGGUGGCGAAGGCGGCAGUCCUGGACCGACGACUGACGCUGAGGAGCGAAAGCCAGGGGAGCAAACGGG
rnacentral:rRNA from 1 species